rnacentral:rRNA from 1 species
UACGAGGGGGGCAAGCGUUGUUCGGAUUUAUUGGGCGUAAAGGGUGCGUAGGCGGUUCGGCAAGUCUUGUGUGAAAUCUUUGGGCUCAACCCAAAGUCUGCAUAAGAAACUGCCGGGCUUGAGUAUGGGAGAGGUGAGUGGAAUUUCCGGUGUAGCGGUGAAAUGCGUAGAUAUCGGGAGGAACACCAGUGGCGAAGGCGACUUACUGGACUGUAACUGACGCUGAGGCAUGAAAGCGUGGGGAGCAAACAGG